rnacentral:rRNA from 1 species
GAUGAACGCUGGCGGCGUGCUUAACACAUGCAAGUCGAACGAUGAAGCCCAGCUUGCUGGGUGGAUUAGUGGCGAACGGGUGAGUAACACGUGAGUAACCUGCCCUUAACUCUGGGAUAAGCCUGGGAAACUGGGUCUAAUACCGGAUAGGAGCGUCCACCGCAUGGUGGGUGUUGGAAAGAUUUAACGGUUUUGGAUGGACUCGCGGCCUAUCAGCUUGUUGGUGAGGUAAUGGCUCACCAAGGCGACGACGGGUAGCCGGCCUGAGAGGGUGACCGGCCACACUGGGACUGAGACACGGCCCAGACUCCUACGGGAGGCAGCAGUGGGGAAUAUUGCACAAUGGGCGCAAGCCUGAUGCAGCGACGCCGCGUGAGGGAUGACGGCCUUCGGGUUGUAAACCUCUUUCAGUAGGGAAGAAGCGAAAGUGACGGUACCUGCAGAAGAAGCACCGGCUAACUACGUG